rnacentral:rRNA from 1 species
CGAACGCUGGCGGCGUGCCUAAUACAUGCAAGUCGAGCGAAGUUUUUCUGGUGCUUGCACUAGAAAAACUUAGCGGCGAACGGGUGAGUAACACGUAAAGAACCUGCCUCAUAGACUGGGACAACUAUUGGAAACGAUAGCUAAUACCGGAUAACAGUAUUUCUCGCAUGAGAGAUAUUUAAAAGUUGGUUAUGCCAACACUAUGAGAUGGCUUUGCGGUGCAUUAGCUAGUUGGUGGGGUAAAGGCCCACCAAGGCGACGAUGCAUAGCCGACCUGAGAGGGUGAUCGGCCACACUGGGACUGAGACACGGCCCAGACUCCUACGGGAGGCAGCAGUAGGGAAUCUUCCGCAAUGGGCGAAAGCCUGACGGAGCAACGCCGCGUGAGUGAAGAAGGAUUUCGGUUCGUAAAGCUCUGUUGUUAGGGAAGAAUGGAUAUGUAGUAACUAUACAUGUAUGAGACGGUACCUAACCAGAAAGCCACGGCUAACUACGUG